AUGAGCGCUAGCGGGAGGCUUAACACAUGCAAGUCGAGGGGCAUCACGGGUAGCAAUACCUGGUGGCGACCGGCAGACGGGUGAGUAACGCGUAUGUAACCUACCCUGUACAGGGGGAUAACCCGGAGAAAUUCGGACUAAUAUCCCAUAAUGAUAUCUGGGGGCAUCUUCGGAUAUUUAAAGUUCCGGCGGUACAGGAUGGGCAUGCGUAACAUUAGCUAGUUGGUAAGGUAACGGCUUACCAAGGCUUUGAUGUUUAGGGGUCCUGAGAGGGUGGUCCCCCACACUGGUACUGAGACACGGACCAGACUCCUACGGGAGGCAGCAGUGAGGAAUAUUGGUCAAUGGGCGCAAGCCUGAACCAGCCAUCCCGCGUGCAGGAAGACGGCCCUAUGGGUUGUGAACUGCUUUUCCAGGGAGAGAAACUUGCGUACGCGUUGCGCAAUUGACGGUACCCUGGGAAUAAGCAUCGGCUAACUCCGUGCCAGCAGCCGCGGUAAUACGGAGGAUGCGAGCGUUAUCCGGAUUCAUUGGGUUUAAAGGGUGCGUAGGCGGACUAUUAAGUCAGUGGUGAGAUCCUGCAGCUUAACUGCAGAACUGCCAUUGAUACUGAUAGCCUUGAGUUUGGUUAAGGUAGGCGGAAUGUGUAAUGUAGCGGUGAAAUGCUUAGAUAUUACACAGAACACCAAUUGCGUAGGCAGCUUACUGAGCCGACACUGACGCUGAGGCACGAAAGCGUGGGGAUCGAACAGGAUUAGAUACCCUGGUAGUCCACGCCGUAAACGAUGAUUACUCGCUGUUGGCGAUACACUGUCAGCGGCUAAGCAAAAGCAAUAAGUAAUCCACCUGGGGAGUACGGCCGCAAGGUUG
rnacentral:rRNA from 1 species